CGAAGGGGGCUAGCGUUGCUCGGAAUCACUGGGCGUAAAGGGUGCGUAGGCGGGUUAUUAAGUCAGAGGGGAAAUCCUGGAGCUCAACUCCAGAACUGCCUUUGAUACUGAUAGUCUUGAGUAUGGGAGAGGUGAGUGGAACUGCGAGUGUAGAGGUGAAAUUCGUAGAUAUUCGCAAGAACACCAGUGGCGAAGGCGGCUCACUGGCCCAUUACUGACGCUGAGGCACGAAAGCGUGGGGAGCAAACAGG
rnacentral:rRNA from 1 species